rnacentral:lncRNA from 1 species
GCACAGACAGGAAAUGGUGACGUUCUCGAUGGCCAAAUAGAUUGGACUAGACGGAUGUUUAAGAGAAAAAGGGUGCCAAAAGUGGGAACUAUGAAUGUGAAGCAAGAAUACUCUUCCAGUGUUGAAAAACAGGUCGGUGAAAAAUAAGCAUCAGAUGGUUUGAAUCUUUACCGCCAAUCAGUAUUAUUAUCAGGGAUUGAUAACAUCCUCAAAGAAUGUUUCACUACUGGAACAGCCUUGGGCAAUCUCUGAAUGGAAGUUCCAAGCUUCCUUUUCAC